AACUAGCCCUGAUUGAGCGGUAUGUUUGAGCUCUUUUUAUUUUUUCAAUGUGAGCGGAGUCGAAGAAUCUAAAAAUAAAAAAGCGAGUAGCGAAAGCAGGAAAUAGC
rnacentral:misc_RNA from 1 species